AACGAACGCUGGCGGCAGGCUUAACACAUGCAAGUCGAACGGGUGUAGCAAUACAUCAGUGGCAGACGGGUGAGUAACACGUGUGAACCUUCCUAGGGGUACGGAACAACUCAGGGAAACUUGAGCUAAUACCGUAUACGUCCGUGAGGAGAAAGAUUUAUCGCCCUUAGACGGGCCCGCGUAGGAUUAGCUAGUUGGUGGGGUAACGGCCUACCAAGGCGACGAUCCGUAGAUGAUCUUAGAGGAUGAGCAGCAACAAUGGGACUGAGACACAGCCCAGUCCCCUACGGGAGUCAGCAGGUGGGAAUCUUGGACAAUGGGCUCAAGCCUGAUCCAGCCAUGCUGCGUGAGUGAAGAAGGUCUUCGGAUUGUAAAGCUCUUUUGCCAGGGACGAUGAUGACGGUACCUGGAGAAUAAGCCCCGGCAAACUGCGUGCCAGCCGCCGCCGUAAUAC
rnacentral:rRNA from 1 species